rnacentral:rRNA from 1 species
CGUAGGGUGCGAGCGUUAAUCGGAAUUACUGGGCGUAAAGCGUGCGCAGGCGGCGCGUUAAGACAGGUGUGAAAGCCCCGAGCUUAACUUGGGAAUUGCGCUUGUGACUGGCGUGCUGGAGUGUGGCAGAGGGAGGUGGAAUUCCACGUGUAGCAGUGUAAUGCGUAGAGAUGUGGAGGAACACCGAUGGCGAAGGCAGCCUCCUGGGCCAGCACUGACGCUCAUGCACGAAAGCGUGGGGAGCAAACAGGAUUAGAUACCCUGGUAGUCCACGCCCUAAACGAUGUCAACUGGUUGUUGGUGGGGUUAAACCCAUUAGUAACGAAGCUAACGCGUGAAGUUGACCGCCUGGGGAGUACGGCCGCAAGGUUA